UACGUAGGUGGCAAGCGUUGUCCGGAUUUACUGGGCGUAAAGCGCGCGUAGGCGGUGAUCUUUGUCAGAGGUGAAAUCCCGAGGCUCAACUUCGGAAUUGCCUUUGAAACGGGAUCGCUUGAGUCCGAGAGAGGAUGGCGGAAUUCCUAGUGUAGAGGUGAAAUUCGUAGAUAUUAGGAAGAACACCAGUGGCGAAGGCGGCUCACUGGCCCGAUACUGACGCUGAGGCACGAAAGCGUGGGGAGCAAACAGG
rnacentral:rRNA from 1 species